CCCCAGAGAGUGUACACAAAUUCACUCAGAAUGGCCAAGGGAAUAUAACAAAUGCAUGUUCCACCCAGGUUGCCAGGAUACUUGAGGAAUCAAAGCUGGUGGUGGAGCUGUACAGCAAAGAUGUUCAAGUGAAGGCCUCGGGAGAUGGAGAUGCUAAGAGUCCAAUGCCAGAUGAUGGAGCAACAGCUUUGCUGCUUUUCAAGAUAAGAGCAAAGAAGCUAAAUCUCAGAGCGCACCUCAAUUUGGACUGGCCAUAUUUCAAGGGCUGGAGCCCACUGUAUUGAACCGCACAAGGCUAGAGGGUGCACAUCAGGCCUGCCUGACAAGGCCUCCCCUGGUUGAGAGGGGCAAGACAUCUGAGACUCAUCUCUACGGCUCCCAGCACCAUGCCUAGCACAUGGAAGCCUGGGCCCAGCUGUUCUUCAAGGUUACAAUAAUAGUGGCAAACACUAACCCACACAGAGACACUAAGCUGUCGAAGCAUGACCACUUCUACUAUCUUGAUGGCUUCCUACAGUAAUGGGAAUGCUGACUUCCAGCAGAGAAUCAGGAUAGAAUACAACACCCCUGCUUGAGGUCCACCCAGGGGCUACUCUGUUUGUGACAAUAUAGAAAUGAGAACAGGGAAGCAUGGUCUAUCCUUGCAUUUGGAGAUAUUCUCUGCAGAUGUUUUGAUCCUCUUGAAAACAAGAGUCAAGCCACGGCGAUGUUCAGACUUCAGAUCACAAAUGCUCAUGAAUUCAUGAGUAGUAACUGAUCAACAGGAUCCAAAUCUAAAAACGUAUGGAUUCAUUAAAAUCAUUUCCUAAGUAAGAUUAAAGUAGUGGGCAUGUCAGUGGUAGCAAGCACCUCAUUUCUUCCUGGGUUUUAGAGGGAUAUAAACUUCAUCCCCUCACCUGAUU